rnacentral:rRNA from 1 species
AGGACGAACGCUGGCGGCGUGCUUAACACAUGCAAGUCGAGCGGAAAGGCCCUUCGGGGUACUCGAGCGGCGAACGGGUGAGUAACACGUGGGCAACCUGCCCUUAGCUCUGGGAUAGCUCCGGGAAACCGGAAUUAAUACCGGAUAUGACCUAGGCCGACAUCGGCCGUGGUGGAAAGUUUUUCGGCUAGAGAUGGACUCGCGGCCUAUCAGCUAGUUGGUGGGGUAACGGCCCACCAAGGCGACGACGGGUAGCCGGCCUGAGAGGGCGACCGGCCACACUGGGACUGAGACACGGCCCAGACUCCUACGGGAGGCAGCAGUGGGGAAUAUUGCGCAAUGGGCGAAAGCCUGACGCAGCGACGCCGCGUGGGGGAUGAAGGCCUUCGGGUUGUAAACCCCUUUCAGCAGGGACGAAGCGAAAGUGACGGUACCUGCAGAAGAAGCGCCGGCUAACUACGUGCCAGCAGCCGC